UACCUUUAUUUAUUUAUUUUAAAUGUCGUUUUCAAGCUUGGGUUAUCUCCUUUUGUGCAUUUUUAGAUAAUUUUGUUGUUUGUUACUUUGAAAGGGACAUACGGACUAUCAAUUUGUUUGAAUGAUACUAGUCCAAUAUCACUGCUUGUACAAGAAAAUGUCAGCGAAAAGAGAAUAACAGAAGCCAAAAUAAAGGCAGAAAAAAACCUCUCUUAGAUGACACAGGUGCAGCUUAUGAGGAGGUUAAGAAAGAUUCGAGUGCUCUAUCUAAGGAGGAACAAAUGGAUGUUUUGCAUAGGGCCCUAGCAGUCCCAUCUUCUCCAGAACUCCUUGAUGGAAAUGACAUACCACUUACCACACCCAUUUUCACCAGCUUGCUAGAUCUUCACUAUAAUAACUGUCUCCAGACUCUCAUCCUAUAUUUCCUGCCAAACUUGCUGCAGAGGCUGACUCAAAAGUGCAAGAAGCGAUCCAAAAAUUUUAGAUAGAAGUACAAGGAACAACAGAAGAAAAAAUUGAAUCGUCAGAAAGGGCAGGUGCAGAAGAUCAAGAAACCUAGUUGUCUUUGUGGUGCAGAAGCCCCAGGACUUAAAAUGUAGCAACGAGUCAGUUGCUUGAUUCAAGCACUUGAUACUGUUUCUUUGUUUCCAAUUUUCUACCUUUUCAAUUGCAUAGUGCUUGUUGGAUCAUGCAUAAUGUAUGUGUCUGAAACUUCUUAUUUUUUGGAAAAAAAAAAUAGUGUAUUUGUCUGAACUAAAUUUUCUUAUGGCAUUUAUACACACAUAUUCAAGCCUUCCAAGGCUUCAAAUAAUUAACUUAAUUGCUGCUAUUUUAAUGUUGCCUUAAAAGCCUCGGUUCAGUAUAACAAAUGGGCUUUCUCAUUGGCACUUUCUCAUAUCACAAGAUUUGGUGGAGGGUGAGGUUAGGAUGAAGAAGAGAUGAGAGGGGAAGGGAAGUUGGUGAAAAUUUAUUAGUUUUUAGCAUCUAUUCAGGUUGUAUUCUCCUCUCAGGUGUGCGUGUGUUAGUGAUUUUGGAGGUAGGCUUACAGUAGAUACU